rnacentral:rRNA from 1 species
GGCAGGCUUAACACAUGCAAGUCGAGCGGGCAUAGCAAUAUGUCAGCGGCAGACGGGUGAGUAACGCGUGGGAACGUACCUUUUGGUUCGGAACAACUGAGGGAAACUUCAGCUAAUACCGGAUAAGCCCUUACGGGGAAAGAUUUAUCGCCGAAAGAUCGGCCCGCGUCUGAUUAGCUAGUUGGUGAGGUAAUGGCUCACCAAGGCGACGAUCAGUAGCUGGUCUGAGAGGAUGAUCAGCCACAUUGGGACUGAGACACGGCCCAAACUCCUACGGGAGGCAGCAGUGGGGAAUAUUGGACAAUGGGCGCAAGCCUGAUCCAGCCAUGCCGCGUGAGUGAUGAAGGCCCUAGGGUUGUAAAGCUCUUUUGUGCGGGAAGAUAAUGACGGUACCGCAAGAAUAAGCCCCGGCUAACUUCGUGCCAGCAGCCGCGGUAAUACGAAGGGGGCUAGCGUUGCUCGGAAUCACUGGGCGUAAAGGGUGCGUAGGCGGGUCUUUAAGUCAGGGGUGAAAUCCUGGAGCUCAACUCCAGAACUGCCUUUGAUACUGAAGAUCUUGAGUUCGGGAGAGGUGAGUGGAACUGCGAGUGUAGAGGUGAAAUUCGUAGAUAUUCGCAAGAACACCAGUGGCGAAGGCGGCUCACUGGCCCGAUACUGACGCUGAGGCACGAAAGCGUGGGGAGCAAACAGGAUUAGAUACCCUGGUAGUCCACGCCGUAAACGAUGAAUGCCAGCCGUUAGUGGGUUUACUCACUAGUGGCGCAGCUAACGCUUUAAGCAUUCCGCCUGGCGAGUACGGUCGCAAGAUUAAUACUCAAAGGAAUUGACUGAGGCCCGCACAAGCGGUGGAGCAUGUGGUUUAAUUCGACGCAACGCGCAGAACCUUACCAGCCCUUGACAUCCCGGUCGCGGACUCCAGAGACGGAGUUCUUCUCUUCGGCUGGACCGGACACAGGUGCUGCAUGGCUGUCGUCCGCUCCUGUCAUGAGAUGUGGGGUUAAGUCCCACAUCGAGCGCAACUCCCGUCCUCGGUUGCUACCAUUUAUCUGAGCACUCUAAGGAUACUGCCGGUGAUAAGCCUCUAUGAACGUGGGGAUGAGGUCAAGUCCUCUUGACCCUUCUGGGCUGGACUACCCACGAGCUCCAAUCGCCGUGACAAUGGGGUGCUAAGGGGCGACCCU